UUCGAUUAUGGCUCGAUUGAACGCGGCGGGAUGCUUUACACAUGCAAGUCGAACGGCGCUGGACUUCGGUCUGGUGGCGAGUGGCGAACGGGUGAGUAAUGUCGGAACGAUGCCUAGUAGCAAAGGGGAUAACUACGCCAAGCGCGGCUAAUACCGCAUACUUCCCUUCAGAAGCGGGGGACCUUCGGGCCUCAUAUUAGAGCGGCCGAUAUCGGAUUAGCUAGUUGGUGGGGUAACGGCUCACCAAGGCGACGAUCUUCAGCUGGUUGAAGGACGACCAGCCACACUGGGACUGAGACACGGCCCAGACUCCUGCGAGGCAGCGGUGGGGGAGAUUUUGGACAAUGGGAAACCCUGAUCCAGCCAUCCCGCGUGUGCGAUGAAGGCCUUCGGGUUGUAAAAGCACUUUUGGCAGGAAAGAAACGGCACACGGAUAAUACCCCGUGCAACUGACGUUACCUGCAGAAUAAGCACCGGCUAACUACGUGCCAGCAGCCGCGGUAAUACGUAGAGGUGCAAGCGUUAAUCGGAAUUACUGGGCGUAAAGCGUGCGCAGGCGGUUCCGGAAGAAAGAUGUGAAAUCCAGAGCUUAACUGGAACACAUUUUCCGCUACCGAGCUAGAGUGUGUCAGAGGAGGUGGAAUUCCGCGUGUAGCAGUGAAAUGCGUAGAUAUGCGGAGGAACACCGAUGGCGGUGGCCCUCUAAGGACUAACACUGACGCUCAUGCACGAAAGCGUGGGAGCAAGCAGGAUUGAAUGCCCUGGUGAUACACGCCUAAACGAUGUCAACUAGCUGGUAACCAGGCCCUUCAGACCUUGGUAGCGCAACUAACGCGUGAGAUUGACCGCCUGGGGAAGUACGGUCGCAGAUUAAAACUCAAAGGAAUUGACGGGGACCCGCACAAGCGGUGGAUGAUGUGGAUUAAUUCGAUGCAACGCGAAAACCCUUACCUACCGCUUGUAUCUCUGGAAUCCGAAGAGAUUUGGGAGUGCUCAUGAAGAGAACCGGAACACAGGUGCUGCAUGGCUGUCGUCAGCUCGUGUCGUGAGAUGUUGGGUUAAGUCCGCAACGAGCGCAGCCCUUGUCGUGGUUGCUACGAGAAAGGGCACUCUAAUGAGACUAACAGUGACAAACCGGAGGAAGGUGGGGAUGACGUCAAGUCCUCAUGGCCCUUAUGGGUGAGCUUCACACGUCAUACAAUGGUCGGGACAGAGGGUCGCCAACCCGCGAGGUGUCCAGAAACCCGAUCGUAGUCCGGAUCGCAGUCUGCAACUCGACUGCGUGAAGUCGGAAUCGCUAGUAAUCGCGGAUCAGCAUGUCGCGGUGAAUACGUUCCCGGGUCUUGUACACCCCGCCCCGUCACACCAUGGGAGUGGGUUUUUACCAAGUAGUUAGCUAAUGAGAGGCGAUUACCACAGUAGGAUUCAUGACUGGGGUGAAGUCGUAACAAGGUAG
rnacentral:rRNA from 1 species